GGGGUUGUGGCUCGGUGGUAGAGCACUUGCCUGGCAUGUGUGAGCCCUGGGUUCAAUCCCCAGCACCACA
rnacentral:tRNA from 1 species